AGCAGCUGGAGCAGCAGCAGCAGCAAGGCUAGGAGCACAGAGCUGAGCUGGGACCAUGCAGCUGCUGACAUUCACUGUGGGGCUGGGUCUGCUGUUUGUGGUUCGAGCCAUGAUGCCUCCUCUGACUCCUGCCCGUGCUGAGCAGGAAGCCCAUUGGCUGCAUUCCAUUCAAGCUGGCACUGUAUGAGGGAGAGGACCUUGGCACACUUCUUACCUGGUGGAGACACGUCAUCCACAUCCACUUCCUGCCCGGGAAGAACUUCGCCAUUGCCUACUUCAGGGGCAAAAUGAACCAUCAGUACUACCAGAUCAUGAUGCUCAUGGGGCGCACCCUGGAAGCAGACCCAGAUGCCGUGAGGAUCUUCAAGGAAUUUGUGGAGAGUAAAAUCCCAAAGACAGGAGAGAUCAUUACCCCUCCCCAUGUUGAAGCCUGUGAGUUGGUUCAAGAUUCCUAGUGCAGAGGGAGUGCCCGCAGAGUCCAUGCAGGAGGAAGUGGAGCUGGGACCCUGGCUGACCUCUGCUCCUGCAGGCAGAACUCAUAAUGUCAAAGAGCACAGGGCCCAGCAGCUCCGCAUCUACACCUCCUCCAAGAACCUUCGCUCAAUAAAUUUGGUGGAUAUCCCCUGA
ensembl:lncRNA